rnacentral:rRNA from 1 species
GAUGAACGCUGGCGGCGUGCCUAAUACAUGCAAGUCGAGCGAACAGAUGAGGAGCUUGCUCCUCUGACGUUAGCGGCGGACGGGUGAGUAACACGUGGAUAACCUACCUAUAAGACUGGGAUAACUUCGGGAAACCGGAGCUAAUACCGGAUAAUAUAUUGAACCGCAUGGUUCAAUAGUGAAAGACGGUUUUGCUGUCACUUAUAGAUGGAUCCGCGCCGCAUUAGCUAGUUGGUAAGGUAACGGCUUACCAAGGCAACGAUGCGUAGCCGACCUGAGAGGGGGGGGGGCAACACGGGAAACACGAGCGGGCCCAGCCCCCGCGGGGGGCCAGAAGGGGGGAUUCUCCCCAAAGGGCAGAAGGCUGGAGGGAGCACCGCGGGGGGGUGAAUAAAGGUUUGGGAUUCAAAAACUUUUUUUAUAGGGGAAAAAAAAUGGGGAAAGAAAUUAGGCCCGCUUGGGGGUCACAUAACAAGAAGCCCAGGCCAACUCCGGGC